rnacentral:rRNA from 1 species
CCUACGGGGGGCUGCAGUGGGGAAUAUUGCACAAUGGGGGAAACCCUGAUGCAGCGACGCCGCGUGAGUGAAGAAGUAUUUCGGUACGUAAAGCUCCAUCAGCCGGGAAGAAAAUGACGGUACCUGACUAAGAAGCCCCGGCUAACUACGUGCCAGCAGCCGCGGUAAUACGUAGGGGGCAAGCGUUAUCCGGAUUUACUGGGUGUAAAGGGAGCGUAGACGGCAGCGCAAGUCUGGAGUGAAAUCCCAGGGAUUAACCAUGGAACUGCUUUGGAAACUGUGCAGCUAGAGUGCAGGAGAGGUAAGCGGAAUUCCUAGUGUAGCGGUGAAAUGCGUAGAUAUUAGGAGGAACACCAGUGGCGAAGGCGGCUUACUGGACUGUAACUGACGUUGAGGCUCGAAAGCGUGGGGAGCAAACAGGAUUAGAUACCCGAGUAGUC